GGUGACUUGCAACUUGCAGGUUUCCAGGCAGCAGAGACCUGAAAUAUUUUCAGAUGUUUGCUGUGCUAUCAGAUGAUAAGAGUAGAGAGAGGUACUGGACCUGUACCAAGGAUACUGAGAUGAUUUUCUUCUGGGUAAAUUCAAUCAGGUCAAACAGUAAUAGACUUCAAAUGAAGCAGUUACAUUUAUAGAGGGAACCAUGUUAGUAACAAUUACAUGCAUAGAAACUUUUUUAGUACUCAUUCUGGCUAUAAAAGCUAUAUAAUAAAUCCUAGCUACUUGGAAGGGUAAGACAGGAGGAUCACAACUUUGAGCCAGCCAGGACAAUUUAAUGAGACCUUACUUUAAAAGGGGAUUAGUGCAUUUAAUCCCAGCAUUGGGGAGGUAGAGCUAUGUUGAUUUCUGUGAACUACAUAGUUCCAGGACAGCCAGGGAUACAUUGAGGAAAAGAUGGGGGAGGAAGGAAGGAAUAAAGGAAAGAAAGAGGGUUGAGCAUUUGCUCAGCUAAUGUGUCAGGUCCUGGGUUUGAUUACUAGUACUUCAAAAGAGAGGGAGAGAGGGGGGCCAGGGAUGAGGCAUGUGCCUAGUAUCCCAGUAUUUAGGAGUCAGAGGAGGGUCAAGUGUUAAAGGCUAACUUAAGUAAGCUCUGUGAGACACUGUCUGAAAACUAAAACAAC
rnacentral:lncRNA from 1 species